rnacentral:rRNA from 1 species
UACGUAGGGUGCAAGCGUUGUCCGGAAUUAUUGGGCGUAAAGAGCUCGUAGGCGGUCUGUCGCGUCGGGAGUGAAAGACCGGGGCUUAACCCCGGUUCUGCUUCCGGUACGGGCAUGCUGGAGUGUGGCAGGGGAGACUGGAAUUCCUGGUGUAGCGGUGGAAUGCGCAGAUAUCAGGAGGAACACCGGUGGCGAAGGCGGCCAACUGGGCUAUAACUGACGCUGAGGCGCGAGAGCGUGGGGAGCAAACAGG